AUUGAACGCUGGCGGCAGGCCUAACACAUGCAAGUCGAACGGAGCGGCGGGCGGGUGAGUAAUGCCUAGUAAUCUGCCUGGUAGUGGGGGAUAACGGCCGGCAAGGGCUGCUACUACCGCCUAUUAUCAUAGGAUCCGUGGUCGGAUUAGCUUGUUGGUGGGGUAAAGGCCUACCAAGGCGACGAUCCGUAACUGGUCUGAGAGGAUGAUCAGUCACACUGGAACUGAGACACGGUCCAGACUCCUACGGGAGGCAGCAGUGGGGAAUAUUGGACAAUGGGCGAAAGCCUGAUCCAGCCAUGCCGCGUGUGUGAAGAAGGUCUUCGGAUUGUAAAGCACUUUAAGUUGGGAGGCGUUACCAACAGAAUAAGCACCGGCUAACUUCGUGCCAGCAGCCGCGGUAAUUC
rnacentral:rRNA from 1 species